rfam:Schistocephalus solidus strain NST_G2 genome assembly, scaffold: SSLN_scaffold0009925
UGGCUCAAUGGUAGAGCGUUCGACUUAAUAACCAAAGGUUCCGGGUUCGAAUCCCAG